rnacentral:rRNA from 1 species
GACGAACGCUGGCGGCGUGCUUAACACAUGCAAGUCGAACGGAAAGGCCCUGCUUGCAGGGUCCUCUAGUGUCGAACGGGUGAGUAACACGUGGGUGAUCUGCCCUGCACUUCUGGAUAAGCCUUGGAAACUGUGUCUAAUACCGGAUAGGAGCCAUUUUUAGUGUUGUUGUUGGAAAGUUUUUUCGGUGUGGGAUGAGCUCGCGGCCUAUCAGCUUGGUUGUUGGGUAAUGGCCUACCUAGGCGGAGACUGGUAGCCGGCCUGAGAGGGUGGACGGCCACAAUGGGAAUGAGAUACGGCCCAGACUCCCACGGGAGGCAGGAGUGGGGAAUAUUGCAAAAUUGGCGCAAGCCUGAUGCAGCGACGGCGGGGGGGGGAUGAAGGGCUUCGGGUUGGAAAAUCCUUUCGCUAGGGACGAAGCUUUUUGUGACGGUACCUAGAUAAGAAGCACCGGCUAACUACGUG